AGAGUUUGAUCCUGGCUCAGAUUGAACGCUGGCGGCAUGCCUAACACAUGCAAGUCGAACGGGGUGCUUCGGCACCUAGUGGCGGACGGGUGAGUAAUGCAUAGGAACCUAUCCUGUAGUGGGGGACAACCCAGGGAAACUUGGGCUAAUACCGCAUACGCCCUGCGGGGGAAAGCGGGGGAUCUUCGGACCUCGCGCUACUGGAGGGGCCUAUGUCCCACUAGCUAGUUGGUGGGGUAAAGGCCUACCAAGGCGACGAUCGGUAGCUGGUCUGAGAGGAUGAUCAGCCACACUGGGACUGAGACACGGCCCAGACUCCUACGGGAGGCAGCAGUGGGGAAUUUUUCGCAAUGGGGGCAACCCUGACGAAGCAAUGCCGCGUGAAUGAAGAAGGCCUUCGGGUUGUAAAGUUCUUUCGUGGGGGACGAAAAGGGCGACGCGAAUACCGUUGUCUGUUUGACUUGAAACCCAAGAAGAAACAACGGGUAACUCCGUGACCAGCAGCCCCGGUAAU
rnacentral:rRNA from 1 species